rnacentral:lncRNA from 1 species
GCCUUGGCCUCCCAAAGUGCUGGGACUACAGGCGUGAGCCACUGCACCCAGCCAUUUUUUCUAUUUCUAUCGUUCCUUCUACAUUUGUGAUUCCAUUGUGUAUGGGAUUCUAUAGUGUAUUUUUAGUCAGUGGACUAUAACCCAUUAUUGUCAUUAUUUUAUUGCUCAAAUUGCCCAAGAUUUGGCCACUGAGGGACAUUCAAUUUGGUUCCUGUGUCCUUUCAAUAUGUCCCCCAUGUUCUCAUUACCUACCAUAUAUUUGUUUUCCCCAUCCUAAUACACACAUAAAAUACUUCCUGAAUUACUAACUUCUGCUUCUGUGAAAAAUUUGCUAACUAGACUCUGGUAUUUGUGUACAGUUCCUUUUCUCUUUCUAGUAUCCCAUCAAAAUGCUAUAACUUCUUAUUUUUCUUGCCCACCUCCUUCAAUGUGGUUGUAUUAUGCAUCUGAAAUACAGUUAAGUUCAUUUGUUACUGUUUGUAUUUCAUUUUGAACUCUCCUCAUAUCCUGGUUGACUUUAAUUAUUUUGGGGGGCAUGAGAAACAUUACUAUGGCUCCAAGACUCACAGUUAUACAAAAUAUACUCAGAUACACUCGGCAGUGUUCCAUCCCUUCCUCCUUUACACCGUUAUGAUUUCUCCCUUCUUUCUACUCUAAACCCACCUACCAUCCAUAGACAGCUCAUUACUUUCUGGCCAAUCUUUCCUUAUUUACUUUGCAUAAACAAAUAGAUACAUGUGCUUUCUUACAUCUCCUUCUUUCUUACAUACAAAGUACCACUUUCUACUUUUUGUACUUUGCUUUUUGCAUUUAAUAUAUCUUGAAAAUAACUAUACCGAUUCAUAGAGAUCUUCCUCAUUUUUUUUAUAGCUCAAUAAUAUUCCAUCAUGUGGGUAUGC